AACGAUGCCCAAGUUGUGGCAGUAGGCCACAGCGCUGACCAGCUGCCAGGACAGCCUGCGGGCCUCCCCUUCCUCCAGGCCUGGGCAGCAGCAGUAGUCUGACACCGCAUUGAUGUACUCCCACAGGUCGCCAUGGGCCGCCAGCUCCAGCACCAAGUAGAAGCGCUGGCUGUUCUGGUAGGUCUCGUACAGCUGCACCUGCCGGACUCCCACCCACCUGCUAUCACCCCAAGGAGACACUGUCCAGUGCACUGUAUCAGUCUCAGGGUGGGGUUGGGCCCCGAGCAUAAUGGUCCCAGGUGGGGAAGGGGGUGGGCAGCAGGCAUGCUGAGGGCUGGCCACAGGGGAUGGGCUGGAUGGGGACAGGCUGUCUCUGCCCACCACAUUCAGGUGCUUGUAGGUAGCAUUGAGUGAUGAGAUUUCACGGGGCAGGAACUUUCGGGAGAACUCCAUGGGGGCCUUGGUGGUGGAGACGAUCUUGAUAGCCACCUGCAGGGGUGGAGAGUGGCCACUGUGUGCAGACCACAGCCCCUUGGCGUAGGAUGUGGCAGGACAGGCACUGUGUCCUUUGUGCACAUUGCUGAACUUGAAGGGGUAAGGCUGGGUAAGCAGCGUCCUCAGAGGGCAAUGCUGACCUUCCCCCUCCCUCCUGUCCCAAGCACCUAUGUGCUCAAGUGGUUUGAGAAUGGGGAGUGGUCAGCCUGCAGGAGCCUUGGCCUCCAGGGAGGAUGCAGGACUAGGAGGGAGCCAGAGCAGCUGGGAAGUGCCUGAGUGAGGUUAGGACAGGAACUGCUGGGUGGGACUGGAGGGCAGGCCAUGGAGCCUUCUGCCCAUGGGGAGGAGAUGGACCUGCCUCACCAUGGUAUGGCGCUUGCCCUGCAGGUCGGAGGCCAGCUUGGAAUUGUGCUGCAUGCGCUCCUGCGUGGCGUAGGCCAGGUAGACUUUGGAGAAGGCCCCGGAGCCAAUCUUCUUGGAGGAGAGCAGGUAGCCGUUGUCCCUGCAUUCUCGAACCUGCUCCAUGAGGGUUUGCUGGUCCAGCUUUCGCCUGCCGCUGCCCUUCAUGGAGGGCAGGGCACCGCGGAAGAGCACAGGGCCGUCCAGCUCACCACAGGGCCUUGGAGGGGGAAAGGGCUGAGGCCCGACUUGUGUCAGAGGGGCAGGGGCCACAGGGCACAGGAGGCCAGGUGGGACCUGCACCCCCUUGAGGCUGCAGCCAAGUUUCUGAAGUCUUUCUGGGACUGGGACAGAGGCAGGGAAAUGACCAAGGCUGAGAGCUCCGGGUGGGAGGCUAACACAGCUGUGGACUGGCAUGGAGGAGGGCAGGCUCUGAGAAAGCAGAAGCAGAUUCUAGAAUGGAGGGUUCUAGAGCUGCACCUGCAUUGUGCCCUCAAAGUGGGUGUUCUGUCCUCCAGGACCUGCCUGCCCUAAGAACAUCUUGCUGGAACCAGCCCUACCCUGUGUGGGGCCCACUGUCUGUGGGGUGAGAACCCCCAAGAGCUAGAGCCAGAGUGAGGCCUCUGUGGGCACUCUGGGUGUGGCUGGCCACAGAAGGCCUGUAAGGGAGCUGGUGGGAGGGGAAGGAAGGGGAGCAGAGUUUCCCAGGUGGUAAGGAAAAGGAAUACAAUGUACGCCAAUAACUGUUUCAACCGUUCCCCUUGUUCUUAGAGAGGGUAGCUCCCCUUGUUCUUAGAGAGGGUAGCUCCCCUUGUUCUUAGAGAGGGUAGCUCCCCUUGUUCUUAGAGAGGGUAGCUCCCCUUGUUCUUAGGGUACCAACGUGCAGCCAGGUGGGCUGCAAUAGAGGCUGAGCCAGAAGAAAGGCAUGAUGAGGGAGCCACUCUGCCUUCCUCUGCAGAGGCCUAGAAGCUUCUCCUGCCUAGGCCAAGGCUGCAGGAGGCCUUUCCCCCAGAGCUCUCUACAGAUUUGAUGACACAUCCCCAAGGCAAGCAAGGGCCCCUGGCCUGGGACCACCUCAAACCCUCCAGCUCCAGGAGAGGGGAGCCAACACAGCCCCUCCCUUCUCCUGGCCCCUGGAGUCUUCUGUGAGCACGGUUACGGAGGGGAGUAAUAGCUAACAUUUACAGAGUGCUGCUGUUUGCCAGGCGCCAUUCUAAGCACUCAUAGCAGCUGCAACUACCACCUCCUGCAGUCCUGUCUCCAUUCACAGACCACACCCCGUGGGCCUGUCCCAUGGUAGGCAGUUCACGUCCAGGAUCUCAAAUCAGAGCACAACCAAGUGAUGCCCAUUUUAUGGAUGGCGCAAUUGAGGACCAAAUAUGCGGUCUCUCUACUGUGAGCUGCCAUCCUGGGAGUGUCCCACAAGUGCCUGGGUCUUGCUGGAGGCUUGGUGAGUGUCUGUGGACUUGAUUUGUUCCCUACUGGGAUUCAUGGUGGAUGUGGUGUGCCGCUGCAAUGAAGACCUUGGACUGCUCUGACUUGAACUGGUAAGACACAUUUUCUCAUCCCUGUUGGACCAUGAGCUGCUUGAGAGCAAGGCUUGUGUUUGAUAUUCCCUUGCUCACCCACAGUGCUUGUCUGGCAAGUUGCCUGGAAUAUAGAAAAUAUGGACAAACUAACUGGUUUGUUGCUGACCUUGGGAAAAGAGAAACCACUCCAGGUGUUAGAAGGGCUGGAGAGGCACCAUGUCUAGAGCUGGAGCAGUGAAAGGGAAAACCGUGUAGCUCCAGCCAAGGGAUGCUGUGCUGCUGAGCUGCUGCCGUGGAGCCUGGGAGCCUGUGCCCCCUCUUACCUUCCUGGCUCCCAGUAGUGCCAGAACACAACUCGUAGCCAGCGAGUGUUGUGCGGAGAGAUGACAGAUCAUCCAUCUAUGCCACAGAGAUUUGUUGAGCACCCAUCACAUGCUGGACUUGGUGCUGAGCACUUGGGAGCAAAUCACAGACGUGGACCUUUCUCUCAUAGAGCUUACCGUUGCAGAUGGGAGACUGGCAUUAACAAUUUAAUAAAAGUUAAAUGACAGCUGUGACAUGUGCCAGGGCAGCUUGUGUG